rnacentral:rRNA from 1 species
UAAAGUGUAAUCUGCCCACUGAUAUAAUAUUAAAGGGGUGCAGUAUUUUGAGUGUACAAAGGUAGCAUAAUCAUUAGUCUUUUAAUUGAAGACUUGUAUGAAUGAUUGGAUGAAAUAUAAACUGUCUCUAAUAUUAUUAGUUAGAAUUUAAUUUUUUUAUUAAAAAGUAAAAAUAAAUUUAAAAGACGAGAAGACCCUAUAGAGUUUUAUAAUUAAUUUAAUUGAAAUUAUUUAUAAAGAUAAUUUUAAAUUAAUAAAUUAAAAUUAAGUUAAUUAUUUUGUUGGGGUGAUAAAAAAAUAAAAAUAACUUUUUUUAAUAAAUAUAUAUAUAUAUAUAUAUAUAUAUAUAUUGUAAACAAAAAUAAAUGAUUUUUUGAUCCAGAAUUUUUGAUUAUAAGAAAAAAUUACCUUAGGGAUAACAGCGUAAUUUUUUUUUUUAGUUCAAAUAAGAAAAAGAGUUUGCGACCUCGAUGUUGGAUUAAGGAAAAAUUUAAAUGCAAAAGUUUAAAAUUUUG